UACGUAGGGUGCAAGCGUUAAUCGGAAUUACUGGGCGUAAAGCGUGCGCAGGCGGUCUUGUAAGUCAGAUGUGAAAUCCCCGGGCUUAACCUGGGAACUGCGUUUGAAACUACAAGGCUAGAGUGUGGCAGAGGGGGGUGGAAUUCCACGUGUAGCAGUGAAAUGCGUAGAGAUGUGGAGGAACACCGAUGGCGAAGGCAGCCCCCUGGGUCAAGAUUGACGCUCAUGCACGAAAGCGUGGGGAGCAAACAGG
rnacentral:rRNA from 1 species